rnacentral:ncRNA from 1 species
ACGGGAUGGUUUGGCACCUCGAUGUCGGCUCGUCGCAUCCUGGGGCUGGAGUUGGUCCCAAGGGUUGGGCUGUUCGCCCAUUAAAGCGGCACGCGAGCUGGGUUUAGAACGUCGUGAGACAGUUCGGUCUCUAUCCGCCGCGCGCGUGGAAACUUGUGGAAGGCUGUCCCUAGUACGAGAGGACCGGGAUGGACGUACCUCUGGUGUGCCAGUCAUUCUGCCAUGGGUGUUGCUGGUUGGCUAUGUGCGGGAGGGAUAACCGCUGAAAGCAUCUAAGCGGGAAGCCUGUUCCGAGAUGAGGUUUCUUUUGAGGUGUCCUAGAGAUGAUGGGGUUGAUAGGCCGGGGCUGGAAGCUCUGUGAAGGGGUGUUGAGGUGACCGGUACUAAUUCACCGACUCGAAAACACUU